rnacentral:tRNA from 1 species
CCGGCGCCUCGCGCAGCACGCGUGCCGCGAGCUGGUAGCGGGUGGCGUCGGCCAGCAGGCGAGAGGUGGGUUCGAGCCCGAUGCGCAGGCC